CUAUGAAAAUAAUAUUCAUAAGAAAAGAUGGACAAUAAUGAUAAACAUCUAAAAUAAUGAUAUUUGAAUUGAGAACAAGCUGAAUUUUUUCUAUAACUAAAACUAAAACAGCUCUUCCAUCUCCAACAUUCAGGAAUCAAUCACUCUUCCCAAAUUUUCUACUAUCCUGAAGUCCCUGUAAUGAAUUACAGAUAUGAAUUAGACUUUCGAUAUCCAAUACCC
rnacentral:lncRNA from 1 species